UUGCAAUACAGUUGGCUGAUUAUCAUAAAUUCAAAUUGUUGGAUAUCCUGGCUGGAUUCCAAAAGGAAACAAAACAAUAAGAACAUCUGCACUUUCCCUGACCAGUUAAAAGCUAUGAUCCCUUAUUGGAGUAUCGGUUGAAUCCGCUUUAAUCAGUGUAGAUGAAGGGGAGAAAACAGGCUAAAGAAGGAUUUUAACACCUUGAGACAAUUGAGACAUGAAUUGUGUAUGUGUGCCAUUCAGAGGGUGAAGACAACCGAUUUUAGUGCCUUUGAACGGGGUCUGGUAGUAGGUACCAGGUGCACUGGUUUGAGUGUGUGAAGAACUGCAACACUGCUGUGUUUUUCACUCUCAACAGUUUCCUGUGUGGAUCAAGAAUAUUCCACGAGCUAAAGGACACCCAGUCAACUUGACACAACUGUGGGAAGCAUUGGAGUCAACAUGGGCCAUCAUCCCUGUGGAACGCUUUCGACACCUUGUAGAGUCCGUGCCCCGACGAAUUGACGCUGUUCUGAUGGCAAAAGGAGGUGCAACUCAAUAUUAGUGUCGAGAGAGGAGCCGGCAAGGCCAGGACUAAAGACGUCAUGCUGACCAUGUUCUGUGGACACGUUCCCUCGCCCUCAUUAGAUGGUUAACCAGUGAGCAGUCAGGCAGAGGGAACGGGCCCCUCUAACCGGCCCGUCUGUUUCAUCUUUCAAAGCAGGGGGACGCUAACCAAUUCGCACUCUGGGCGGCACAAACCCUUUUACCCCAUGAAAACAAAAAUUACAAAAAAUAUUACAAUUAAAAUGAAAAAGUGAGGAUGAAUGAAGAGGCAGUGAGAGAGGGAGGAGAACGGGAAGGCUUUGAUUGUUGUUCCUAUUCAAAUCAGUACAUAACAACAUCUGACAUGCAUGACAGUAACUGCUUGCUAAUUAUGGCACAGCUUUGCUGUACGGGGUUGUUGUGUCACCGGGACCCCCAGACAAUCUGUCGAUUGUUGUGUGAGAAGAUUGGUCCGACAGGACAGAACAGGGCCAGGCCAGCCGCUUUCCUCUAACCAAUUAUCCCCAUUUACUAUCGCUGCUUGAAGCUGCUUCGCUGGCCCGCCUGCCAUGAACAAGGAAAAAAAGAUGGAGGUAGCGAGGACAAAUGAAAGCAAAAGAAAGACAGAUGAAGAAAGAGAGAGAGAGAAAAGACAUGAGUAUCAACGCUCCUGAAGUUUGGAUGGAGUUGGAGACACUAGUAGGUGUGAAAACAGAGAACUUACGUAAAACAAAACCUCGGCCAUUUUAAGUUUGGACGGAGAGAGAUAGAGAGGUUCUGUAGCUUUGCCUAAUGAGCUCAGCCACCACCUUGCCUCAGUUUGAAGGGGGAGGAGGGGGCGAAAAAGGGACUAUUAUGAAUUGAGUUAAUGAGCCUUGGGGUUGGAAAGCGGGUGAGGUGAGGGUGGCGGUCAAAUUCUAUUGCUCCCGGCCUCACCCCGAGCCCCCCUCCCCUUCCCUCCCUGUCCCUUUGAUUUAACAAGUGAACAAUUCUACUGCAGGUGUUUUAGACGUGCACUGAUCUAGGCUGAUGGAUUCCUCUGGUUAACUGUACUGAGAGUGUCGCAUUUAUCCAACGGGUUUCUGCACCGAAGGUUUUAGUCCAGCGUUUCCCAAACUUCAUUCUGGUUCUCUUGAUUUGAAAAUGGGGUCGCAAGAAAAACUCUAAGAAAUCAAAUCAAAUUGUGCUUGGUUCAUAGAACCGGGGUUACGUUAGUAACCUCCGGUAGCCGCUAGAUGUGGUUGUAAUAAACAGAGUGGUUUCUGUUUCCUUCCUACAAAUGUGGCUCUAACUUUUGAACGGUUUAAGAUACAAAAUAUUAUGACCACAUCACUGAAAGAUAAGUGUCUCUGGAACACGUAUGUAUCCGUUUCCCUCUACAAUGACCACAAGCCUCAUUAGAACAGUGGACAAAUUAUGAUGUAAUUUCCUACACAGAAGAUUAUACAAAUCAUUGCCUGAUGAUCUUCUGAACUUCCCAGUACCUUUUCUGAUGUAUUUCAGUCACUUCAAACCAUUCUUUCUUCAGAUUGAAAUACUGUCAAAAUUACUGUCUUAUUGAUUUGAA
ensembl:lncRNA